GACAGAGGGGGCAAGCGUUGCUCGGAAUCACUGGGCGUAAAGGGCGCGUAGGCGGGAUGGCAAGUCGGUCGUGAAAUCCUUCGGCUCAACCGAAGAACGUCGGCCGAUACUGCCAUUCUUGAGGGAUGCAGAGGAGACUGGAAUUCCCGGUGUAGCGGUGAAAUGUGUAGAGAUCGGGAGGAACACCGGUGGCGAAGGCGGGUCUCUGGGCAUCUCCUGACGCUGAGGCGCGAAAGCGUGGGGAGCAAACGGGAUUAGAUACCCCGGUAGUCCACGCUGUAAACGAUGACGACUAGGUGUGGGGUGGGUUAGUCCAUUCCGUGCCGCAGCUAACGCAUUAAGUCGUCCGCCUGGGGAGUACGGCCGCAAGGUUGAAACUUAAAUGAAUUGACGG
rnacentral:rRNA from 1 species